AAGUCGUAACAAGGUCUCGUUGGUGACCAGCGGAGGGAUCAUUACCGAGUUUACAACUCCCAAACCCCUGUGAACAUACCUAUACGUUGCCUCGGCGGAUCAGCCCGCGCCCCGUAAAACGGGACGGCCCGCCCGAGGACCCUAAACUCUGUUUUUAGUGGAACUUCUGAGUAAAACAAACAAAUAAAUCAAAACUUUCAACAACGGAUCUCUUGGUUCUG
rnacentral:misc_RNA from 1 species